rnacentral:sRNA from 1 species
GCACGUAGUCUCCUUUAAGCCCCGCUGC